rnacentral:rRNA from 1 species
UACGUAGGGUGCAAGCGUUAAUCGGAAUUACUGGGCGUAAAGCGUGCGCAGGCGGUUUUGCAAGUCGGAUGUGAAAUCCCCGGGCUUAACCUGGGAAUGGCAUUUGGGACUGCAAGGCUGGAGUGCGGCAGAGGAGACUGGAAUUCCUGGUGUAGCAGUGAAAUGCGUAGAUAUCAGGAGGAACACCGAUGGCGAAGGCAGGUCUCUGGGCUGACACUGACGCUCAUGCACGAAAGCGUGGGGAGCAAACAGG